UACGAAGGGGGCUAGCGUUGCUCGGAAUUACUGGGCGUAAAGCGCACGUAGGCGGCUUUGCAAGUCAGAGGUGAAAGCCCGGGGCUCAACCCCGGAAUUGCCUUUGAGACUGCAUCGCUAGAAUUGUGGAGAGGUAAGUGGAAUUCCGAGUGUAAAGGUGAAAUUCGUAGAUAUUCGGAAGAACACCAGUGGCGAAGGCGACUUACUGGACACAUAUUGACGCUGAGGUGCGAAAGCGUGGGGAGCAAACAGG
rnacentral:rRNA from 1 species